rnacentral:rRNA from 1 species
ACAUAGGGGGCAAGCGUUGUCCGGAAUGACUGGGCGUAAAGGGUGCGUAGGCGGUCUAAUAAGUCUAAAGUAAAAGCCAGUGGCUCAACCACUGUUCGCUUUGGAAACUGUUAGACUAGAGUGCAGAAGAGGCAAGUGGAAUUCCAUGUGUAGCGGUAAAAUGCGUAGAUAUAUGGAGGAACACCAGUGGCGAAGGCGGCUUGCUGGUCUGUAACUGACGCUGAGGCACGAAAGCGUGGGGAGCAAACAG